CCUACGGGGGGCAGCAGUGGGGGAUAUUGCACAAUGGGGGGAACCCUGAUGCAGCGACGCCGCGUGGGUGAAGGAGUGCUUCGGCAUGUAAAGCCCUAUCGGCAGGGAAGAAGCAAGACGGUACCUGACUAAGAAGCCCCGGCUAACUACGUGCCAGCAGCCGCGGUAAUACGUAGGGGGCGAGCGUUAUCCGGAUUCACUGGGUGUAAAGGGAGCGUAGACGGCCAAGCAAGCCAGGGGUGAAAGCCCGGGGCCCAACCCCGGGACUGCCCUUGGAACUGCAUGGCUGGAGUGCGGGAGGGGCAGGCGGAAUUCCUGGUGUAGCGGUGAAAUGCGUAGAUAUCAGGAGGAACACCGGCGGCGAAGGCGGCCUGCUGGACAAUAACUGACGCUGAGGCGCGAAAGCGUGGGGAGCAAACAGGAUUAGAUACCCCAGUAGUC
rnacentral:rRNA from 1 species